GUACUCUGGUUUCUCUUCAGAUCAUAUAAAUCUUUCCCCCUUACUAAAGAUUUACAUGGAGAGGAACAAGCAUGAGUGUCGUGGAAUUUUUUGAGGCUCUGCUUUGGCUUUUUAGAGAU
ensembl:snRNA U5 U5 spliceosomal RNA